GAGAAGACAAGGGGGACACACCCAGGAAGAAAAAGGAGUGAGAAAAAAAAUUCCCCCAAAAAUGCCAACCUGCUGCUAAGAAAGACUCCAGGAAACUGAAAUGAGUGUGCAGUGGUGGGAUGUGUAAAUCUAAGUCUCCCUUCAGAAGGAGCAUCAGAAGCUUCAUUCCAAACUGAGAGGAGGAAUGUGGUGCUGCCAUCGCUGCUGGACAUGACUGCUGCACAACGUGCACCAAACUGGACACGACGACCUGAAAGGGACCCAGAACCGAGACUGACAACCUGGACCUGGCUGCCAUGGACAGCCCUGCCAGGAACCAGAACGUGCCUGCCAUGGACAACCCUGCCAGGAACCAGAACGUGCCUGCCAUGGACAGCCCUGCCAGGAACCAGAACGUGCCUGCCAUGGACAACCCUGCCAGGAACCAGAACCUGCCUGCCAUGGACAGCCCUGCCAGGAUCCUUUGCCAAGCACAGGAAAGUGGAGGAAGAUCACAAGGUGCAAUCCUAGGAUAUCAGCAUGGAUAUCCAGGAGAGUGGGCUGGAGGAUUCCUGCAACCCAUGCGUGCUGUGUGUUGUCUUCGUCCCCUCAGAUAAGUAACUAUUUUUGAGCAACUGCAAAUACAAGACUGGUGUAAAAAGGAGUGUCUUUAUAAACAGAAAAGGGUGGUUAGGUUAAAAAUAAGAAACAACAAACCUCUGGGUGUGGCUGCAACCUGGGCCUGAAGUUUUACAGUUUGCUUAGAAAAUUGUUCAUAACCCUUGCAUCUUUGCAUUUCUGGAUUAUAAAAUUGGAUUUUCCUGGCUGUUUUUUAAAAUUUGACUGUUUAUUGUUGGUUUGUCAGGAUUUAGGAUGUUUGGGGGAGGGUGGGCUGUGAGUUAGGCCAGGGUGUGCACAGUGUUCCUGUUGCCUUCUAACAGCUCCUUUUUCCCUCAUAAUUUUCCAGGCUGCAGGCGUCACUGCUCUCUCCGCCACUGAGCAAGGAAACCUGCUGCUGAAUUUCUCCAUGCUUGGGAAAAGUUUAAUGAUUACAAAGCAUUGGAUCUGCAGGGGAUGAGAAGAAUCGUUUCCCAGAGAUUUUCUGCCAAAUGAAGACAAGACGACAGAAGUUUGAACAAGAUUUCUGCUGAACAAACCAAGAGAAUGUGACCAGGAGCCGGCCUGACCUCAUAGACUGAACGAGACAGAAUUUAUAGUGACUCUGACUGGAACCCAAGUGCCUUUACUGGGUCUCCAGGAUGUAAAUAGUUCCAUGUUCUCUGUUUUUCUGGAUAGUUCCAUGUUCUCUGUGUUUUUGGAGCCUCAGAAACAGUUCUGUUUUGUUUAUUUUCUUACUGUUCAAUGCAAAGCACCUGCAUACUUUUGUGUUUGUUUUAAGUAAAGUUUUACGUUCUCUUCGUUACCUUAGGAAGACUUCGUGGUUUUUGAGG